UCAAGUAAUGAUGAUUGGCAAACAUUUUCAACUGCUCUGAAUUGUGAAUGAAUCAUGCCCAUUCUGAGCAUAC
ensembl:snoRNA